rnacentral:rRNA from 1 species
UACGGAGGGGGCAAGCGUUAUUCGGAAUUAUUGGGCGUAAAGGGCGCGUAGGCGGCUAGAUGUGUCAAAGGUGAAAUCCCUCGGCUCAACUGAGGAACUGCCUUUGAAACUGUCUGGCUUGAGGCCGGGAGAGGGUAGCGGAAUUCCCAGUGUAGCGGUGAAAUGCGUAGAUAUCAGGAGGAACACCGAUGGCGAAGGCAGGUCUCUGGGCAUUAACUGACGCUGAGGAGCGAAAGCAUGGGGAGCGAACAGG